CAGGGUCGGCGCUACAUGGACGUAGCGCCGAGGUUCGCCGCGACAGGGAGUCGCGGCGAACCGACCCGUC
rfam:Halothiobacillus sp. XI15 contig_10, whole genome shotgun sequence.